UUAAGCGACUAAGCGUACACGGUGGAUGCCCUGGCAGUCAGAGGCGAUGAAGGACGUGCUAAUCUGCGAAAAGCGUCGGUAAGGUGAUAUGAACCGUUAUAACCGGCGAUGUCCGAAUGGGGAAACCCAGUGCAAUUCGUUGCACUAUCGUUAACUGAAUACAUAGGUUAACGAGGCGAACCGGGGGAACUGAAACAUCUAAGUACCCCGAGGAAAAGAAAUCAACCGAGAUUCCCCCAGUAGCGGCGAGCGAACGGGGAGCAGCCCAGAGUCUGAAUCAGCUUGUGUGUUAGUGGAACGGUCUGGAAAGUCCGACGGUACAGGGUGAUAGUCCCGUACACCAAAAUGCACAGGUUGUGAACUCGAAGAGUAGGGCGGGACACGUGGUAUCCUGUCUGAAUAUGGGGGGACCAUCCUCCAAGGCUAAAUACUCCUGACUGACCGAUAGUGAACCAGUACCGUGAGGGAAAGGCGAAAAGAACCCCGGCGAGGGGAGUGAAAAAGAACCUGAAACCGUGUACGUACAAGCAGUGGGAGCACCUUCGGGUGUGACUGCGUACCUUUUGUAUAAUGGGUCAGCGACUUAUAUUCUGUAGCAAGGUUAACCGUAUAGGGGAGCCGCAGGGAAACCGAGUCUUAACUGGGCGUUAAGUUGCAGGGUAUAGACCCGAAACCCGGUGAUCUAGCCAUGGGCAGGUUGAAGGUUGGGUAACACUAACUGGAGGACCGAACCGACUAAUGUUGAAAAAUUAGCGGAUGACUUGUGGCUGGGGGUGAAAGGCCAAUCAAACCGGGAGAUAGCUGGUUCUCCCCGAAAGCUAUUUAGGUAGCGCCUCGUGAAUUCAUCUUCGGGGGUAGAGCACUGUUUCGGCUAGGGGGUCAUCCCGACUUACCAACCCGAUGCAAACUACGAAUACCGAAGAAUGUUAUCACGGGAGACACACGGCGGGUGCUAACGUCCGUCGUGAAGAGGGAAACAACCCAGACCGCCAGCUAAGGUCCCAAAGUCAUGGUUAAGUGGGAAACGAUGUGGGAAGGCACAGACAGCCAGGAUGUUGGCUUAGAAGCAGCCAUCAUUUAAAGAAAGCGUAAUAGCUCACUGGUCGAGUCGGCCUGCGCGGAAGAUGUAACGGGGCUAAACCAUGCACCGAAGCUGCGGCAGCGACACUAUGUGUUGUUGGGUAGGGGAGCGUUCUGUAAGCCUGCGAAGGUGGCCUGUGAGGGUUGCUGGAGGUAUCAGAAGUGCGAAUGCUGACAUAAGUAACGAUAAAGCGGGUGAAAAGCCCGCUCGCCGGAAGACCAAGGGUUCCUGUCCAACGUUAAUCGGGGCAGGGUGAGUCGACCCCUAAGGCGAGGCCGAAAGGCGUAGUCGAUGGGAAACAGGUUAAUAUUCCUGUACUUGGUGUUACUGCGAAGGGGGGACGGAGAAGGCUAUGUUAGCCGGGCGACGGUUGUCCCGGUUUAAGCAUGUAGGCUGGUUAUCCAGGCAAAUCCGGAUAAUCAAGGCUGAGGUGUGAUGACGAGGCACUACGGUGCUGAAGUAACAAAUGCCCUGCUUCCAGGAAAAGCCUCUAAGCAUCAGGUAACAUUAAAUCGUACCCCAAACCGACACAGGUGGUCAGGUAGAGAAUACCAAGGCGCUUGAGAGAACUCGGGUGAAGGAACUAGGCAAAAUGGUGCCGUAACUUCGGGAGAAGGCACGCUGGUGUGUAGGUGAAGUCCCUGCGGAUGGAGCUGAGACCAGUCGAAGAUACCAGCUGGCUGCAACUGUUUAUUAAAAACACAGCACUGUGCAAACACGAAAGUGGACGUAUACGGUGUGACGCCUGCCCGGUGCCGGAAGGUUAAUUGAUGGGGUUAUCCGUAAGGAGAAGCUCUUGAUCGAAGCCCCGGUAAACGGCGGCCGUAACUAUAACGGUCCUAAGGUAGCGAAAUUCCUUGUCGGGUAAGUUCCGACCUGCACGAAUGGCGUAAUGAUGGCCAGGCUGUCUCCACCCGAGACUCAGUGAAAUUGAACUCGCUGUGAAGAUGCAGUGUACCCGCGGCAAGACGGAAAGACCCCGUGAACCUUUACUAUAGCUUGACACUGAACAUUGAGCCUUGAUGUGUAGGAUAGGUGGGAGGCUUUGAAGCGUGGACGCCAGUCUGCGUGGAGCCAACCUUGAAAUACCACCCUUUAAUGUUUGAUGUUCUAACGUUGGCCCCUGACCGGGGUUGCGGACAGUGUCUGGUGGGUAGUUUGACUGGGGCGGUCUCCUCCCAAAGCGUAACGGAGGAGCACGAAGGUUAGCUAAUCCUGGUCGGACAUCAGGAGGUUAGUGCAAUGGCAUAAGCUAGCUUGACUGCGAGCGUGACGGCGCGAGCAGGUGCGAAAGCAGGUCAUAGUGAUCCGGUGGUUCUGAAUGGAAGGGCCAUCGCUCAACGGAUAAAAGGUACUCCGGGGAUAACAGGCUGAUACCGCCCAAGAGUUCAUAUCGACGGCGGUGUUUGGCACCUCGAUGUCGGCUCAUCACAUCCUGGGGCUGAAGUAGGUCCCAAGGGUAUGGCUGUUCGCCAUUUAAAGUGGUACGCGAGCUGGGUUUAGAACGUCGUGAGACAGUUCGGUCCCUAUCUGCCGUGGGCGCUGGAGAAUUGAGGGGGGCUGCUCCUAGUACGAGAGGACCGGAGUGGACGCAUCACUGGUGUUCGGGUUGUCAUGCCAAUGGCACUGCCCGGUAGCUAAAUGCGGAAGAGAUAAGUGCUGAAAGCAUCUAAGCACGAAACUUGCCCCGAGAUGAGUUCUCCCUGAGACUUUAAGUCUCCUGAAGGAACGUUAAAGACGAUGACGUUGAUAGGCCGGGUGUGUAAGCGCAGCGAUGCGUUGAGCUAACCGGUACUAAUGAACCGUGAGGCUUAACCUU
rnacentral:rRNA from 1 species